UACGGGGGGAGCAAGCGUUGUUCGGAUUUACUGGGCGUAAAGGGCGCGUAGGCGGUCAGCACAAGUCAGUUGUGAAAUCUCCGAGCUUAACUCGGAAAGGUCAACUGAUACUGUGCGACUAGAGUGCGGAAGGGGCAACUGGAAUUCUUGGUGUAGCGGUGAAAUGCGUAGAUAUCAAGAGGAACACCUGCGGCGAAGGCGACAUCCUGGACCAAUACUGACGCUGAGUGAGCGAAAGCCAGGGGAGCAAACGGG
rnacentral:rRNA from 1 species